GACCCUGACACUUUUUUUUUUUUUUUUUUUUUUGUGGCCUUUUCAUUUCCUUCCAUAUUUGAAAGUCUCCUGGUCAUUUAUUUCUCCCAUUAAUAGCCAAAGUGCUCUCACCUGCUUUGGGAGAACAAUAAAAUUCUGUGGAUUGCAAUACACAGUGUUCACCAAUCAUCCUAGAGACAGAGGGCUUUUUAAUAUUUUUUAAUACCCUAUCCAUACAUAUCUGCUAAUUUACACAAUAUUAUUUUAAAUCCCAGUGAUUUGAGAGGCAUUUCAUAGAAUCAUAGAACAGCUUAGAUUGGAGAGGACCUCAAAGAUCAUCCAUUUCCAACCUCCUGCCAUGGGCUGGAUGCCCCCCACCAGCUCAGGCUGCCCAGAGCCUCAUCCAACCUGGCCUUGGGCACCUCCAGGGAUGGGGCACCCACAGCUCUCUGGGCAGCUGUGUCAGUGUCUCACCACCCCCUGAGUACAGACUUUUUUCCUAACAUCUAAUCUAGAUUUCCCCACUUCUAGUUUAUUUCCAGUUGGUUUGUUCAUUUCCAGUUUGGUGACAAAUUGAAAUCAUUUUCAAUGAGAUUUUUUCCAAAUGUUGGAGACUAGCACGCGCUUACCAUGAGCCUCAUUCUCUAUACAGUGUCUACAAGCUGGAGGAGAGCACAGUAUGAGCUCUUCUGCUUCAAUUCAGCGUACAGCCCUAAGAGCAACUCAUGGUUCCUGCAGGCCACAGAGGAGCCAAAGGGUUAUUGCCUUAGUAAUGGAUGCUGGAUUUCUCCAGUUUUGACCACACCAGUGACUAAUGCUCCAGUAUCAGGACCUCAUCACUCUUGUUCACUUUAGUACUUAAAAAUGAUUCUUAUUAUAGCAAUAAUCAAAAAAUUGAGCAGGUUCUAGAUAUUUUCUAUUGUACUUUCUCCACUUAACAGAGAGCUAGCACAUAGCUUUUCAUAUAUUUUGUUACCUAAAAAUGUAGAUGGAUGUCUCAUGGGAUUUUCAGGAGUUCCUUUCUCACUAAAAUCAAUGAGAAUUAAGUUCUUAAUGUCUUUAAUGAGUCAUACCAAAGUGACAGAUGAGAAAAAUCACAACAGACAACUGUGACAAGCAGAUUUACUCUGCCACCCAUAUGCCAAACCACUACUCCAAUCCUUGCACUUGACUUCUGCUAAGACCGUCAUCCUUCUUUCGCUUCAUUUCAUGUUGUUUAUCAAAGGCAGUUCUAAUAUCUGACCUGGUCUUUCAAUCUGCACAUAACCCAGCAGUGACGGUCUUAAUCCUGUCCAAGAUGGACUUAAUGACCUGAAAUGAUUUAAUUCAAAUAAAUGGUAAAACCUGGAAGCUGUACUAGCCA
rnacentral:lncRNA from 1 species